CUGCAAAUAUUCUCACUGUUCUGAUUUUAUAAUAAUCAGAGCAGCCUAAACAUUCACUAUAUUAAGAUCAUGCAUAUGUCCCAAAUCUAAUUCUUUACCUACCUAGGUAUGGUCUUAGAAAUAAUAGUGAUACCC